rnacentral:rRNA from 1 species
GAUAAACGCUGGCGGCGCACAUAAGACAUGCAAGUUGAACGGACUUAAUCGAAAUAUUUAUAUUUUGAAGCGGUUAGUGGCGGACUGGUGAGUAACGCGUAAGGAACCUGCCUAUUAGAGGGGAAUAACAGAGAGAAAUCAUUGCUAAUACCGCAUAUGCCAUAGAUAUGACAUGAUAACAGUGGGAAAGGAUCAAUCCGCUAAUAGAUGGCCUUGCGUCUGAUUAGAUAGUUGGUGGGGUAACGGCGUACCAAGUCGACGAUCAGUAGCCGGACUGAGAGGAUGAGGUGCCACCUCGGGAGUGAGACACCGCCCAGGAAUCUACGGGAGUGAGCGGUAGGGAAUAUUACGAAAUGCACGAAAGUCUGACGCGGCGACGCAGCGUAUAGGAAGAAGGUUUUCGGAUUGUAAACUAUUGUCGUUAGGGAAGAGAAAGGACGGUACCUAAGGAGGAAGCUCCGGCUAACUACGUG